rnacentral:misc_RNA from 1 species
GAUGAAGAACGUAGCGAAAUGCGAUAAGUAAUGUGAAUUGCAGAAUUCAGUGAAUCAUCGAAUCUUUGAACGCACAUUGCGCCCGCCAGUAUUCUGGCGGGCAUGCCUGUCUGAGCGUCAUUUCAACCCUCAUGCCCCUAGGGCGUGGUGUUGGGGAUCGGCCAAAGCCCGCGAGGGACGGCCGGCCCCUAAAUCUAGUGGCGGACCCGUCGUGGCCUCCUCUGCGAAGUAGUGAUAUUCCGCAUCGGAGAGCGAUGAGCCCUGCCGUUAAACCCCCAACUUUCCAAGGUUGACCUCAGAUCAGGUAGGAAUACCCGCUGAACUUAAGCAUAUCAAUAAGCGGAGGA